GACGAACGCUGGCGGCGUGCCUAAUACAUGCAAGUCGAACGCAGUGGGGGCGGGUGAGUGGCACGUGGGUGACCUCCCAUCAGAGGGGAUAACACUUGGAAACAGGUGCUAAACCGCUACUGAUGGAUGGACCCGCGGUGCAUUAGCUAGUUGGUGGGGUAACGGCUCACCAAGGCCACGAGGCAUAGCCGAGCUGAGAGGGUGAGCGGCCACACUGGGACUGAGACACGGCCCAGACUCCUACGGGAGGCAGCAGUAGGGAAUCUUAGGCAAUGGACGAAAGUCUGACCGAGCAACGCCGCGUGAGUGAAGAAGGUUUUCGGAUCGUAAAACUCUGUUGUUAGAGAAGCGGUAUCUAACCAGAAAGCAACGGCUAACUACGUGCCAGCAGCCGCGGUAAUUC
rnacentral:rRNA from 1 species